rnacentral:rRNA from 1 species
GAGCGAAGCGGGAAGAGCUCAAAUUUAUAAUCUGGCACCUUCGGUGUCCGAGUUGUAAUCUCUAGAAGUGUUUUCCGCGUUGGACCGCACACAAGUCUGUUGGAAUACAGCGGCAUAGUGGUGAAACCCCCGUAUAUGGUGCGGACGCCCAGCGCUUUGUGAUACACUUUCAAUGAGUCGAGUUGUUUGGGAAUGCAGCUCAAAUUGGGUGGUAAAUUCCAUCUAAAGCUAAAUAUUGGCGAGAGACCGAUAGCGAACAAGUACCGUGAGGGAAAGAUGAAAAGCACUUUGGAAAGAGAGUUAACAGUACGUGAAAUUGUUGGAAGGGAAACGCUUGAAGUCAGACUUGCUUGCCGGAGCUUGCUUCGGUUUGCAGGCCAGCAUCAGUUUUCCGGGGUGGAUAAUGACGGUUUGAAGGUAGCAGUCUCGGCUGUGUUAUAGCUUUCCGUUGGAUACGCCCUGGGGGACUGAGGAACGCAACGUGCUUUUUGCGAAAGACUCGUCUUUUUCACGCUUAGGAUGCUGGUGGAAUGGCUUUAAACGACCCGUCUUGA